rnacentral:misc_RNA from 1 species
AACGUCACUCCCACCGACUUCCCUCGAGAUCGCCGUCACGCUCCCCACCCUAGUCAACGGGUGUGACAGAUACGGUUUCCUCGAUAUGAGCCGGUGUUUCCUCCGGAGAUCGCUCUCCGGGGCCGCGAUGAGGUAUUCACGGCACGAGCUGACGACAGCCAUGCACCACCUGUCAGGGGCCCUUACGGACACCGUGUCUCCACGGCUUUUCCCCUGAUGUCAAGCCCAGGUAAGGUUCUUCGCGU